rnacentral:rRNA from 1 species
UGAAACCCGCCUCCGUGAAGCCGGAGUUGCUAGUAAUCGCGGAUCAGCACGCCGCGGUGAAUGCGUUCCCGGGCCUUGUACACACCGCCCGUCACACCACCCGAGUCGUCUGCACCCGAAGCCGCCGGCCAACAUCUGAGGGAGGCGUCGAAGGUGUGGAGGGUGAGGGGGGUGAAGUCGUAACAAGGUAUC